rnacentral:misc_RNA from 1 species
GAGCAUAAAUCUGCUAGAGUAUUAUCUGCUACCAACGAAGGACGUCAAUCCCAAAAUGAUAGUUCUAUCAGACAGGUGACUGACACCUCUAAUCAACAGGAAAGCCGGACAGAUGCCGUAGUUGCUAAGGAAAAGGAUCGCAAAGAAAGGGCGUCCAACGGAGUAUCUGACACUACCUCCCAAAUUGUGCUUGAGCAGCAAUCUGCUAUAGCUUCUGGAAAGGUCAAUGAGAAGGAGCCCCCUAAGUCUAAAACUGAUAAACAGACAACUCAAAUGCCUAUGCCAGAUGCUCGGGUGCGACAACUUAGAGAUCAACUUAUUAGGGCAAAGAUUUACCUAUCUCUUCCAGUCACAAAAAACAAUCCCCAUUUGACGAGAGAGCUUCGGUUACGGAUAAAGGAAGUUCAACGUGUUGUUGGGGAUGCAACUAAAGAUUCUGAUUUGCCAAAGAAUGCCUAUGAGAAAUUGAAGGCAAUGGAAAUAUCAUUGGCAAAAGGCAAGCAGAUGCAGGAUGACUGUGCUACUGCUGUUAAGAAGCUUCGGGCUAUGCUUCACU